rnacentral:rRNA from 1 species
AGUGAACGCUGGCGGCAGGCCUAACACAUGCAAGUCGAGCGGCAGCGCGGGGGCACCCCUGCGGGCGGGCGGGGACGGGGGAGGAAAUUCUUGGGAAUCGGCCUUUUUGGGGGGGUUACGGUGGGAAAACUAAGGCAAAUCCCGCUACCUUCCUACGGGGGAAGGGGGGGGACCCAAGGGCCUACGGAGAAAGGAGAGGCGAACGACGAUUAGCUAGUUGGUGGGGUAAAGGCCCACCAAGGCGACGAUCGGUAGCUGGUCUGAGAGGAUGAUCAGCCACACUGGGACUGAGACACGGCCCAGACUCCUACGGGAGGCAGCAGUGGGGAAUAUUGGACAAUGGGCGCAAGCCUGAUCCAGCCAUGCCGCGUGUGUGAAGAAGGCCUUCGGGUUGUAAAGCACUUUUGUCCGGAAAGAAAUCCCUGGAGCUAAUACCUUCGGGGGAUGACGGUACCGGAAGAAUAAGCACCGGCUAACUUCGUG